CACGUAGGGUGCGAGCGUUGUCCGGAAUUAUUGGGCGUAAAGAGCUCGUAGGCGGUGUGUCGCGUCGGCCGUGAAAACCUGCAGCUUAACUGUGGGCUUGCGGUCGAUACGGGCAUCACUGGAGUUCGGCAGGGGAGACUGGAAUUCCCGGUGUAGCGGUGAAAUGCGCAGAUAUCGGGAGGAACACCAAUGGCGAAGGCAGCUUGCUGGGACGGUACUGACGCUGAGACGCGAAAGCGUGGGGAGCAAACAGG
rnacentral:rRNA from 1 species